CCCUUAGAUGUUCUGGGCCGCACGCGCGCUACACUGACGAAGUCAGCGAGCAUGUCCUACGCCGACAGGUGCGGGGAAUCUUGUCAAACUUCGUCGUGAUGGGGAUUGAUUUUUGAAAUUCUUGAUCAUAAACGAGGAAUUCCCAGUAAGCGCAAGUCAGCAGCUUGCGUUGAUUACGUCCCUGCCCUUUGUACACACCGCCCGUCGCUACUACCGAUUGAAUGGUUUAGUGAGAUCUUCGGAUUGGCGCCACUGCAGCUCAGCAAUGGGCUUGGUGGAUGCCGAAAAGUUGAUCAAACUUGAUCAUUUAGAGGAAGUAAAAGUCGUAACA
rnacentral:rRNA from 1 species